GUUGCCUGGAGCCUCCGGGGAUGCGGUGAAGGCCAGCUGCAGACAGCUUUGCUUGAGCAGUUGCAUCUCCUCUGUGUCAUAGAACAAGUGCUGUUGGCUCUUACUUAAGGCAAGGGCGCUUUGUGGUGAGCGGUGGAGUUGGGUGGCGCCCUGGCUUCUCCAUCAGGGAGUUUUAGAAGCUCCUGGUGAAAACAACUCCUUCCUUGUUUUGUGUGGUUCCCCGAGGGGAUGACGUGGGCUGCAUCCCCACUGUGGAGCCUGUUCUUGGGGCAGGGCUUCCUAGGAAAGACAGUGCAUGCAGGGAGGGCGGUGUGUUCCUUGGCUUCAUUCAGGAAAUGCAGCUCCGUGCCUAUGUGCCUGACACGUUUUACAAUGUGUAGAGAGCAGAGAAUGAAACCCACAAGCCCCCCUCCUCAGGAGUGAGUUCUGGUUGGGGAGACAGCAUUAGGCAGCGGGUCAGGGGUUGGAGUGUCAAUGGGGCUGGGGUCAGGGGUGCUUCACUGAGAAUGUGACACUUGAGUGGAGACCGAUGGAGUAAAGGAGCCUUGGGGCGUCUGCAGAGAGUUUGUGGGCAAGGGCAAAUGCCAGGGCCCUGAGCACAGCGGGACCUGAGUGACUGGGCACAGGGAGUGAGGCCACAGGAACGUGGGUGUUGCAGGCCCAUGGCUGGGACUGCCCAGGUGGGAGUUGCGGGUGAUCAAGACCACAUCUGCUGUGAAGAACCUGCAGCAGCUAGCCCAAGAUGCGGACCUGGCCUUGCUGCAGGUUUUCCAGCUUGCAGCUCAUCUGGUGUACUGGGGCAAGGCCAUCAUCAUCUACCCGCUGUGUGAGAACAACGUCUACAUGCUGUCUCCCAAUGCCAGCGUAUGUCUGUACUCCCCGCUGGCCGAGCAGUUCUCCCACCAGUUCCCAUCUCA
rnacentral:lncRNA from 10 species